UCUGGUAUAGCUCAGUGGUAGAGCUCUUGCCUGGCAUACACAAGACCCUGGGUUCCAUCCCCAGCACCAGGG
rnacentral:tRNA from 1 species